rnacentral:rRNA from 1 species
UAGCUGCAGCUAACGCUGUACUAAGGUAGCACAAUCAUGUGCCUUAUAAUUAAAGGAUCGUAUAAAAGAAAUAACGAAUUUUAAACUCUAUCAAAAAUUAAAAUUAAAAUUUUAAUAAAAGUAAAAAUACCUUUACUUACUAAAAAGACGACAAGACCCCGAGAACUAAACUAAAGUUUUACUGGGGUGGUAAAAUAAAAAAAUCUUACUUCUACAACAAAAAUAAAUAAGUUACCUCAGGGAUAACAGCAUAAUUUAUUUUAAAAGUUCUUAUUUGAAAAUAAGAUUAUGACCUCGAUGUUGAAUUAAAAAAUCUGUAAUUAUGCAAUAAUAAUACAAGACAGUCUGUUCGACUAUUAAAAUUUUACAUGAUUUGAGUUCAGACCGGCGUAAGCCAGGUCGGCUUAUAUCUUUUUUAAAUUAUGUACAGUACGAAAGGACCUGCCUAUCUUAUAAAAUACUAAUAUGACAGAACAAUUGUACUAAACUUAGAAUUUAAAUAUGCUAUU